rnacentral:lncRNA from 1 species
UCCUUUCCAUCUUCGUAGAUCUCCUUCAAGGUACUCCAGAUUUAGCCCUUUGUCACAUCUACAGUAGACAUAAAGACAUUCAUUCUCAGGAAGAAGUGCAGGGCUAAGGAAGUUUGAACACUUGGACUGCAAACAUAAAACCGUUCUGUUUUCUUCCUUGUGGGUGUCAUUGUCUGCAGCUCCACCCAUCAUCUCAGAAGUACCUUUUCCUUGGUGCUGGUGCAUACUAUGAUUUCUUCAUCAUCAUACUGUUAGUUGGGGACUGCACAAGGUUUUUUGUGGAAGCUUCUGGAAGAAGCAGACAGACGGACAGAAGGAACUGUUUAAGCAGCAAUAGAUGUUGUCAUACUGCCCCUGACUCUUAUAUCUUGACAGUAAUCCUCAUUUGAAGUUUUGAUGAUUAUAGGCUAUGUUUGGCGCUGCUCCUUGUUGCACAUGGAACAAGAUGCUGUGGCUGAUCCUCUAACCUAUAUGCUGUCGUAGUGGUCACAGAGUGGUUACAAAAUUUCCCACGGCUCCAGAUCUGUUGUGUGGAUGCUGGACAAGUGCUGGCAGGCACUUCCAUGGUGUUCAAAUCCUACCAUGGAGAAGAAAGACUCUGUUGACUCCUAUGGGCUCUGGUUCAGGCCCCCCAGCAACUGGACACCUCAAUUAAUUUUCUUUUCUCAAACCAAACUUCCAGAAGAAGCCUCAAUAGGUGAGUAUCUCUGUCCUCCUGAAGCUGCAUAGUCCAGAGCAAGGCCACCAAAGCUCAACUGAUACAUCCACCCUACCACAAGCUCUUCAGCAAAAAGCAAAAAAAAAAAAAAAAAGAACUAUGCAAAAACUAUGCUAUUCCUGAUGCCUAAUUCAUAUGGAAAUUCUUGGCUUCAAAUUGCUGGUGUGUGUUGGUAUGCAAUCUCCUUUUAAUCAAGUGACAAAGGCUGCUUUUUUUUUUUUUUUUUUAAUUCAGGCCUGGUAGCAAACUAUAAUAAUUCACUAAGAGCACUUUUCAGAUAAAGGUCUCAAAUACCAUGUUUAAAAUUUCACAAAACUCUUGUGAGGUAAAAAUUAAUAACUGGCUUGCAUUUUGCUCCAGGAAGGCAAGAGGCCAUUCGCAAAUGUAGGCCUUCGUGUUUUGUCCAGUGUGAAUACAAGGUAGCUGGUGUUGAGUUGCACAUGUAUGUUUUGCCUGCUAGUCACAAGCUUUAGCCAUUGGGCUCUCCUGUCUGGAGUGAUUGAGUGCUGCAGUCAAGGUGUACUACAGACCGUAGCACAGGUCUUGCAGAAGAGGCAGGCUCUGGCCACCAGGCAGACUGGCUUUUGUUGUCUUUCUUGAGAACUUUUUUCCAUAGUCCCUAGUUAACACUUGGAGGUUAUAACAACCUAAGCAGUAAACAGAAUAAAAUGCAGAACUCCUAAUAAUAGUCA